UACGGGAGGGGGCUAGCGUUGUUCGGAAUUACUGGGCGUAAAGCGCGCGUAGGCGGCUUUGUAAGUUAGAGGUGAAAGCCCGGAGCUCAACUCCGGAACUGCCUUUAAGACUGCAUCGCUAGAAUCAUGGAGAGGUGAGUGGAAUUCCGAGUGUAGAGGUGAAAUUCGUAGAUAUUCGGAAGAACACCAGUGGCGAAGGCGACUCACUGGACAUGUAUUGACGCUGAGGUGCGAAAGCGUGGGGAGCAAACAGG
rnacentral:rRNA from 1 species